rnacentral:lncRNA from 1 species
AAUUAAUAGUUUUCCUGUUAGAUUUGUAUAGUCUGUUUCAAGUUGUUUAGAUUUGUAUUUCUCUAUGAUAAAAAUAUUGAAAAAAUAUGUUUCUUUCAGUGUGCUGUAUCAUCUUUGGAGAAAUGCCUAUUUAUUUAGAUAUUUAGAUGUGUUAUUCAGGUUCUCAUAUCAGAAAAUGGCCACAGCAAGCAGUAACUGGCAUCCCAGUAUCACCAUCAUUCAGAUGCUUAAGCUGCCAUACACAUUGAGGUGGGAGAGAGAAAUGAGUCAGCAGCCCGGAUGGAGAUCUCCAAGAAGGAAUAGUGCAAAUUAUUGCUUAAUCUUCAGGACAAUUUUGGAUACAGCAUGCAGAUUUUUCCUUCAGAGCAGGCCUUGAAAAUAAAGAGCCCACAUCACCCUCCAUGCUUUAUUUCCCAUCAAGUGCAUGAAGAAAAUUUUCUGACUAUGGGAUAUUGGUAAGUGAACAGAUCUAUGCAUACAUCAGUAUGCCAUUAGGACUCAAUGUAUCUGUAGCUUAAUGAAAGAAAUAUGUUUUACACAAAUAUGUGACCAUUCUAGUCUCAGAUUCUUGGACAUUUUAUCGGUGUGGGAUAUUUCUUCAAUCCAGUAGUGUUAAUCAUAAUUUAAAAGUAGUUGGUUUAUACUGCCAUUAUAGUUAAGCCACUCUGUCAGCAAGAUGUCUGAAGACUGCCCACUAUAUUUUAAUUUAGGAAGUGUAGGUAAAGAUGGUGAGAAUUUUUGUUCAUUCUAUACAUUUGAAGAUAGAGGUUUCUGUCCCUGCCAGGUUCCACAGCAGCAUUGAACCAAAUAAACACAGAAAGACUUAUAUUAAGUAGAAGACAUGUGGCCUCAGGCUCAAGCUUCUUGUUUCCUAGCUCUGCCUUAAUUGUUAACCCAUUUCUAUUAUUCUGUGCAUUACCACAGCCUGUGGCUUACCCAUAAUAUGUCAUGUUAACUCCUUCAGCUGCAUGGUGUCUGUUAGAAACCUCUCUCUGCCUUCCUCUCUCUCCAGGAUCUCCUGAUAUCUUACCCCUGACUAUGCUUCAUGCCUGGCUGCUGGCCAAUCAUUUUUAAUUGUAUAAAAGAAUGUAUAAAAGAAACAUAUGUACCGAAGGACAUCCCCUAUCAAACUUUCAUCAUAUGUAGUUAAUUGGACAGAAUUUUCUGAGUGCCAGAUGUAUUUAUGUUCUAUGGUAAAACAAUUAAGGAGGAUAUUCAAAGAUAAGUUCUUCUAAUUGCAUUGGCUAGUAUAACCAUGUUUGGAUAUAUUCUGAGACUAUAGGAAAC